GCCUGGCUAGCUCAGUCGGUAGCGCAUGAGACUUAAUCUCAGAGUUGUGGGUUCAAGCCCCAUGUUGGGCU
rnacentral:tRNA from 1 species